rnacentral:lncRNA from 1 species
AAAAAAGAAAAGUUAAUUUAAACUCCAGUUAGCCUCCACAUUCCUGAGUGCCAGAGAUCAGCAGUGCUGUGUGAAUAAAAGGUGGAGGAAAAGAAGGAAUGUAGCGUAUCCAAUUAGUCUUUACAGACCAGCAGGUAAACUUGACAAUUAAAUGCCUGUCUUGCUUUUCCAGCAGAGUAAGGAGGAGAGGAAAGGCUGCAUAUGAAUUCUCCUGAAAAGGAACCCAGCAUUCAUAUUUCUAUUAUAAUUCUGUAUUCAUGGCUCAUGCACUGCAGUGAUAGCUAAAGCUAAGCUCACAGCAACCUCUAUUCUGCCAAAAUCCUUCAAUCCUAAUAAUUGUCUAUCCCUGACUGGAACUAAAGUUGAUUUCUACGAGAAAUAUGUUUUUUAUGGGAAAGGGAAUUCAUAAGGAAGACAGGAAGGAAGGACUGCAUUAACUGCAAUUAAUUAAUACAGACUCAGCAACUGCAUCAAUCACAAGGAGAUUUAGACUACCAUGAGUCAUCAACACAAUCUGCACUUCUUGAGCACAAACACACGGUGUGGAGAAACACGGCAUGGAGAAACAGUGACCAGAACAGAACAAAGAAAAUGCUGCUAAAUAGAAGCAAUGCCUUCACUCAGAGAUAGAACACUUACCUUUUUUUUUUUUUUUUUUUUUUUUUUUUUAUCCUGUUUUUUUGCAGAGGAGACGAUGGAGUGCUCCAGCUCGUGCUGUGCUCAGAGGCUGCUCUGACAGAGCUGCAGGAAGAGCUGACGAAACCACGUGCAGUCCUAAGUGCGCAGUACAGCCCCAACUGACAUCACCUACAACUGUUCCCCUGAAAGAUUAAGACUGAUACAAGAUGUCAUGUCGGAAGAUGCUUUCAAAAAUUUUCACAAUAUCUUCUGUAACUGGAGAUGAACAUCAAGCUAGACCUUCUGUGGGUGGCAGAACCAAACCAAACAUUGCAACUCCAGCUGUCAGAAUAAAAGUAAACUGAAAAUAUAAUGAGUUAGCAGGCACCCACCAGUACCCGUCAUGCUGUGCCGCAGGCUCAGCUCUGCCGCUCACGCCACACGUGCUGCCUUGUGACAGGUAUGUCUGGCUUUCUUUUCUUAUGAAAACCCUUCCUUUUACUAAGAAACUCUAACACCCACAGGGGUGGAAAGGUUACAGUUGUUAGUGCAUGGGGAGGAAAAGGGUGCGGUUCAAAGAAUACUCAUUUCAUAUUUUUUUUACAAACGCAAACCA